GUCCAAAAUAGUGAUGCUGUCUUUUCCAAGCACAUAACCGAUUGCUCUGUGUGGAAAAUGACUGUUCUGAGUGAUUUUGGAU
ensembl:snoRNA